rnacentral:rRNA from 1 species
CCUACGGGGGGCAGCAGUGGGGAAUAUUGCACAAUGGGGGAAACCCUGAUGCAGCGACGCCGCGUGAGUGAAGAAGUAUUUCGGUAUGUAAAGCUCUAUCAGCAGGGAAGAAGAAAGACGGUACCUGACUAAGAAGCCCCGGCUAACUACGUGCCAGCAGCCGCGGUAAUACGUAGGGGGCAAGCGUUAUCCGGAUUUACUGGGUGUAAAGGGAGCGUAGACGGCUGUGCAAGUCUGAAGUGAAAGCCCAGGGCUCAACCCUGGGACUGCUCUGGAAACUGCCAGGCUGGAGUGCAGGAGAGGUAAGUGGAAUUCCUAGUGUAGCGGUGAAAUGCGUAGAGAUUAGGAGGAACACCAGUGGCGAAGGCGGCUUACUGGACUGUAACUGACGUUGAGGCUCGAAAGCGUGGGGAGCAAACAGGAGUAGAUACCCGGGUAGUC